rnacentral:misc_RNA from 1 species
GGAAGUAAAAUAACAAGGUCUCCGUUGGUGAACCAGCGGAGGGAUCAUUACCGAGUGCAAACUCAUAACCCUUUGUGAACCUAUAUCUGUUGCUUCGGCGGCUCGCUCUCGGGCGAGCCCGCCGGUAAUAUCAGUAUCUCUGUUUGAACCCGACGAUACUUCUGAGUGUUCUUAGCGAACAGUUAAAACUUUUAACAACGGAUCUCUUGGCUCUA